rnacentral:rRNA from 1 species
AGUAAAUAGAUACCCAGGUAGUCCACGCCGUAAACGAUGUCGACUUGGAGGUUGUGCCCUUGAGGCGUGGCUUCCGGAGCUAAACGCGUUAAGUCGACCGCCUGGGGAGUACGGCCGCAAGGUUAAAACUCAAAUGAAUUGACGGGGGCCCGCACAAGCGGUGGAGCAUGUGGUUUAAUUCGAUGCAACGCGAAGAACCUUACCUACUCUUGACAUCCAGAGAACUUAGCAGAGAUGCUUUGGUGCCUUCGGGAACUCUGAGACAGGUGCUGCAUGGCUGUCGUCAGCUCGUGUUGUGAAAUGUUGGGUUAAGUCCCGCAACGAGCGCAACCCUUAUCCUUUGUUGCCAGCGGUUAGGCCGGGAACUCAAAGGAGACUGCCAGUGAUAAACUGGAGGAAGGUGGGGAUGACGUCAAGUCAUCAUGGCCCUUACGAGUAGGGCUACACACGUGCUACAAUGGCGCAUACAAAGAGAAGCGACCUCGCGAGAG